rnacentral:rRNA from 1 species
AGUGAACGCUGGCGGUAGGCCUAACACAUGCAAGUCGAACGGCAGCACAGUAAGAGCUUGCUCUUACGGGUGGCGAGUGGCGGACGGGUGAGGAAUACAUCGGAAUCUACUUUUUCGUGGGGGAUAACGUAGGGAAACUUACGCUAAUACCGCAUACGACCUACGGGUGAAAGCAGGGGAUCUUCGGACCUUGCGCGAUUGAAUGAGCCGAUGUCGGAUUAGCUAGUUGGCGGGGUAAAGGCCCACCAAGGCGACGAUCCGUAGCUGGUCUGAGAGGAUGAUCAGCCAAACUGGAACUGAGACACGUUCCAGACUCCUACGGGAGGCAGCAGUGGGGAAUAUUGGACAAUGGGCGCAAGCCUGAUCCAGCCAUACCGCGUGGGUGAAGAAGGCCUUCGGGUUGUAAAGCCCUUUUGUUGGGAAAGAAAAGCAGCAGGUUAAUACCCCGCUGUUCUGACGGUACCCAAAGAAUAAGCACCGGCUAACUUCGUG